GUCUUUUUGUAUUAAAUAUAAAGUCUAACCUGCCCAUUGAUAUAAAUUUAAAAGGCUGCGGUAUAUUGACCGUACAAAGGUAGCAUAAUCAUUAGUUUUUUAAUUGAAAACUUGUAUGAAUGGUUGAAUGAGAAAUUGACUUUUUUUUAUAAAAUAUUGAAUUUUAUUUUUUAGUUAAAAAGCUAAAAUUCAUUUAAAAGACGAGAAGACCCUAUAGAGUUUAAUAAUUUAUUUUUAUUAUGACAGAAGUUUAUAAAUAUUAUUAAAAAUAUAAUUAUUUUAUUGGGGUGAUAUUAAAAUUUGAUUAACUUUUAUUUAUUAUAAAUAUUUAUAUAUAAAUAAUUGAUCCAAUUAUAUUGAUUAAAAAUUUAAAUUACCUUAGGGAUAACAGCGUAAUUUUUUUUUAAGUUCUUAUUAAUAAAAGAUUUUGCGACCUCGAUGUUGGAUUAAGAUUAAAUUUUAGGUGCAGCAGCUUAAAUUUUAAGUCUGUUCGACUUUUAAAUUCUU
rnacentral:rRNA from 1 species